UUCGAAGCCUAAAACUCUUCCAACACUUUGUAUUCACCCUAAAAAGAAGAAAGUCCCUUCCAAAGAACCCUACCACUUCGAAAGAACCCAGUACUCUCCGCGACUCCAGCAAUCCGUAGAACAUCACCGGCGCUCCCUGUUCCGGCACACUAACCCUUACCCCUUUUUAAUUCACAAACCCUAACCUAACACCCACCGCACUCCUCCCAUUUCCCCUCACAACAGCGCCGCAGCCUCACUCCCCCUUUUCCCCUCUCCAGCGCACACAACACAAUACACACACGCACCACCUCACCCACGCGGAAGAGGAGAGCUCGAGGAAGGAGACAACGCCUUGCUGCCAGCUCCGUCGAAGACCAGCCCACCGCUGCUGUCGAGUCAAACCCAAGAGAGAGAGAGAGUGUGCAACGAUGAGAGAGGAAGAGCCGUUACUAAACGCGUCGCCGCCGUUGGAGGAGCUUCGCUCUUCGCCAUCACCGAGGAGGGGAAAGAGGACCUGCUCCCGUCGCGCCAGUCACCGUCGUGCUUCCUGGUUGCCGAUGAGGGAGCCGCGAGAACCGUUGCCGUCGCAAGAAGGGGGACGCACGAGAGGGAGCCCUCAGUGUGAUCGCUGUCGCAGCUGUUGAGUAAAUCUUCGUGGUUUUGCAUUUUACAGAUUCGACAAGAAAGGGAACCGGUGGAAGGAGAGAACCGAUGGUACCGUCAAGUUCCCGAAGAACAAGGUUACUAGAAAGGUUUGGCUUCUCAUCUGAACAAAAUUGAUUUGUGCUUCUUUGUUUAUGUUGUCUAUUCUCUGAUUCAUUUGUGCUUCCCUAGUUCUCUGAUUCUUCCGUUCAUAAGUAGUUAGAGAAGUUUACAUUAUAUUUGUUUGAGCCUCAUAUAAUAAUGUCGAACGUGGUUCUUUUGCUGUCAUUAUAGUAGUUAAAUCUAAGAAGGUUAAUUGGUUUAUUUGUGCAACUAAUUUUGUUCUUUUUGUUUUGUGUUUAUGCUGAACAAAAUCAUUGCUGAGUGUAGUUCUUUAGCUGUAAGCAUUCCAAAUCAUUGAAAAAGGUAAUUCAUGGAUUCCAUAUUUUUUUCAUUUGAAAAUUAUACUAGAACAAUAUAAUAUGAUAUGAGAAGCUGUUAAUGAGCUUGAUUUAUAUUUAUAAGAAAUUAUAAACUGAUUGAUUGAAUAGCUUAUCUGCUUUUGCUUUGCUGCUGCUACCUGACUCUGUUCCAAUCUUAGCCUCAGGUGCCUUUUUCCUGUAUUUGCAUAACUUCUCUUAAGAGCUUCAAAAGCUUGAAGAGUAUUGCAUGAACCAGAAAUUCAUUGAUUCAAUGGUACCUAUAUAUUUAACUCUCUUAUUAAUGCUUUUACUUUGUUUAACUUUCUUCAGCACCGCUUGGUUCAUCUGUGUUUGACCUAAUGAGCUGAACUAAUUGAAAUCUCAAUAUUGAGUUGCUUGAUUCAUAGUACUAAGUUUGAUGAAAAGAAAAUUGAGUUGAUACUUAUUUAAUUUUUAUCAUUUUAUUUAUUUAACACCAUGUUUGUACUUGAUUAUUAUUAUUCAUAGUACCAGGUUUCCAUUGGAGUAGCUUGUAAUCUUUCUUGGCCUGCUGACCGUCUCAUGAUCCAAGUCCUAGAUGAUUUCUACGGAUCUCGUGGUUAAGGUGCAUAUAUUUUAAUUGUGCAGCGAGGAAUUAAGAAGUGGAAUUAAUUAAUUUGCUUUGUUUGUGUUGAUUUGUCGCAAAUGGUGGAAAUGGAAUGUCAGAGAUGGGUGAGCAAAGGGAUAAACAUAACAUACCAAAUAAGAGAGAACAGAACGGGGUACAAAGUGGGUGCGUUAAACACAAUUUGAUCAUCUGGACACAGGUCUUUAUGAAUAUGCUAAUAACAGAAUGUGCAGAUAUUGCUGGGACUCCUCCUGAUGGAUGUACUGAAAUACCAACUUGUCCAGUUUGCCUCGAGAGAUUGGACCCGGAUAGAAGUGGAAUACUCACUACACUUUGCGAUCACUCCUUUCAAUGCCCUUGUGUUUCAAAGUGGACAUACUUGUCUUGCCGGAUUUUUGAUGAUUACAACCCUCUUCUAACAUCUCAGCUGGAAACUCAAAGACAAGUAAGUUGACACUGAUGCUCCUGAAACUCAUUCUCUGGGAUAUUUUAAUAACUAUGGAAAACAGAGUCUUUGCUUUGGAUGUAUGAACUAGACUAUAUUAUGUCAUCAAGGUUGACUGGAAACUACUUGUUCCUGACAUAUCAUUAGAUGUAUUAUAAUUACAGGAGUAGUUAGAAUUUAGGGGUACUGAUACUGUUUCGUCUCUUUUUCCCCAUUUAGAUACCAUUUGUUAUAUCUAGUUUCGUCAAAAUCUAAUUUGACUGUCACUGUUUUAGGUGUCAAAAAUAGAAUAGGUUGUACCUCCUAUUCUCACCAAGUUAGGCAAGGUAAUGUUGUGCUUGUUAUCUUUUGAUAAACAUUCUGAUACAAGGUAGUCUAUGCUUAAUGACUUAUGGUAGUCAAUGGUCUAUUGGUAAAUCAAUAAGCAUUCCAAACAACAAUAGUAUGGAGUGGAUUCUUCACCUUGAUACGGAUGAAUUAAUGCACCCAGCGGGUGCUCAAGAGUAUUCUUUUGAGGCAGUUGCUUCUUGAGGUUCCAGGAAAUGUAGACAUGGUCAUAUUUCCCAACUAUGUGAGUAGAAUUUGCUGGUUCAUGCUUCCUUGAUGGAACUGGCAAUUACAAAGAUUCUGUACGUGGGAUUCCAAACUACUUUCUGACUUAUGAAAAUGGUAAAUCAGCUGCCUGUAUACAAGAUCAUCUUCGUCCAAAUGGUGCACACAGAUGGGAUAACUACAUGAAAUCCCCAAAUGAGAUCAAGUUGGAGGAGGCUGCUGUUUUGCAUUACACAUGCUAAAUUCUCAUACCUCACUUCCAGAUGUGAUCGCUGUGGUUGCAAACCUACCGAAGAUGUAAAAAGAUGCUUCAUGUUGGAAUUUGACAGAUCUUAAGUGCAAUUAUUCUCUGCUGCUACAAGGACAAUAACACAGCCAUGGCUGCUUUAGUUUCAACCAUAGGAGCUAUCAAAGGAACUCCAGUGAGUUUGAAUGGUUCUGGAGCUGUGGCUUCAUCAGCUCCCAAUUCACCAGCUUUCUUCGAAAGCAGCUUGAAGGUUACAUCAAGAAUCCAGAGCAGUAGCAAGGUUUCCUCUGGAAGCUUCAAGAUUGUGGCGAUCGAUGAGGACAAGUAAACAAAUAAGGACAGAUGGAAAGGGUUGGCCUAUGAUAUCUUAGGUGACCAGCAAGACAUCACAAGAGGGAAGGGUAUUUUGUAGUUUUUAGAGGAUGUAGAUAAUGUAAUAGUUGUUGGAAUUGUAAUGCAUGUAAUACAAAUUCAUGGGUAGUUGUUAUCACUUUGAUUUUUUGUUAGAGCUUGUCAUGUGAUCAACCACUAUAUUUGGUGUACAAGUUUAUGAAGGUUUUAUAUUGUCUAAAUUUUACAUUAUUUAUGAAUUUUGUUAGAUUUUAUUAUG